UACGGAGGGUGCAAACGUUGCUCGGAAUCAUUGGGCGUAAAGCGCACGUAGGCGGACUGUUAAGUCGGAUGUGGAAUCCCUCAGCUUAACUGAGGAAGUGCACUCGAAACUGGCAGUCUUGAGUAUGGAAGAGGGUCGCGGAAUUCCCGGUGUAGAGGUGAAAUUCGUAGAUAUCGGGAGGAACACCAGUGGCGAAGGCGGCGACCUGGGCCAAUACUGACGCUGAGGUGCGAAAGCGUGGGGAGCAAAC
rnacentral:rRNA from 1 species